rnacentral:rRNA from 1 species
CCCGCAAGGGUCGUUCGAGGAGGAGUUUGCGGCCUAUCAGCUAGUUGGCGGUGUAACAGACCACCAAGGCUAUGACGGGUAGCCGAUCUAAAAGGAUGACCGGCCACAAGGGCACUGAGACACGGGCCCUACUCCUACGGGAGGCAGCAGUGGGGAAUUUUGGACAAUGGACGAAAGUCUGAUCCAGCGACGCCGCGUGAAGGACGAAGGUUUUCGGAUCGUAAACUUCUUUUGCAGGGGACGAAUACGCGCAAGCGUGUGACGGUACUCUGCGAAUAAGCCACGGCUAACUACGUGCCAGCAGCCGCGGUAAUACGUAGGUGGCGAGCGUUACUCGGAGUUACUAGGCGUAAAGCGUGUGUAGGCGGGAGCUUAAGUCUGCUGUUAAAUCUCAUAGCUCAACUAUGAAAUGCCGGCGGAUACUGGGCUUCUUGAAUUCGGUAGAGGUAACUGGAAUUCCAGGUGUAGCGGUGAAAUGCGUAGAUAUCUGGAAGAACGCCAAAGGCGAAAGCAGGUUACUGGGCCGCAAUUGACGCUGAGACACGAAAGCUAGGGGAGCAAACAGGAUUAGAUACCCUGGUAGUCCUAGCCGUAAACGAUGUAGACCAGUGUGGGAGGUAUCGACCCCUUCCGCGCCGACGCUACGCAUUAAGUCUACCGCCU